CAAUGAAUUGACGGGGCCCGCACAAGCGGUGGAGUAUGUGGUUUAAUUCGAUGCAACGCGAAGAACCUUACCUGGUCUUGACAUCCCGGAGACCCUUAGGAAACUAGGGGGUGCUUCCAUCUGGAAGAAUCUGGAGACAGGUGCUGCAUGGCUGUCGUCAGCUCGUGUCGUGAGAUGUUGGGUUAAGUCCCGCAACGAGCGCAACCCUUGCCUUUAGUUGCCAGCAGUUCGGCUGGGCACUCUAAAGGGACUGCCGGUGUUAAACCGGAGGAAGGUGGGGAUGACGUCAAGUCCUCAUGGCCUUUAUGACCAGGGCUACACACGUACUACAAUGGCCGAUACAAAGGGCAGCGACACUGCGAGGUGAAGCCAAUCCCGUAAAAUCGGUCUCAGUCCGGAUUGGAGUCUGCAACUCGACUCCAUGAAGUUGGAAUCGCUAGUAAUCGUGGAUCAGCAUGCCACGGUGAAUACGUUCCCGGGCCUU
rnacentral:rRNA from 1 species